CCAAGUACUUUUUUGAUUUUGUUGUUGCAUUUCUGUUUCAAUUUACAUCGUUAACCAUGUAUUUAAAACUGCGACUAUAAUCUGGGAGAAAAUAUGUUUCCUUCAAAAUGUAAUUGAGAAUGCAGUUUAGUUGU